GUCUAUGGCCAUGCCACCCUGAACGUGCCCAAUCUUGGAAGCUAAGCAGGGUUGGGCCUGGUUAGUACUUAGAUGGGAGACCACCUAGGAAGACCAGGUGGUGUUAGGUG
rnacentral:rRNA from 1 species